GCCGGGCAUGGUGGCUCAUGCCUGUAAUCCCAGCACUUUGGGAGGCCGAGGUGGGCGGAUCACCUGAGGUCAGGAGUUCGAGACCAGCCUGACCAACAUGGAGAAACCCCAUCUCUA
rnacentral:SRP_RNA from 1 species